UACGAGGGGAGCAAGCGUUGUUCGGAUUUACUGGGCGUAAAGGGCGCGUAGGCGGCUUGACAAGUCACUUGUGAAAUCUCCGGGCUUAACUCGGAACGGCCAAGUGAAACUGUCAUGCUAGAGUGCAGAAGGGGCAAUCGGAAUUCUUGGUGUAGCGGUGAAAUGCGUAGAUAUCAAGAGGAACACCUGAGGUGAAGACGGGUUGCUGGGCUGACACUGACGCUGAGGCGCGAAAGCCAGGGGAGCAAACGGG
rnacentral:rRNA from 1 species